AGUGGACGCUGGCGGUAGGCCUAACACAUGCAGGUCGAACGGCAGCACAGUAAGAGCUUGCUCUUACGGGUGGCGAGUGGCGGACGGGUGAGGAAUACAUCGGAAUCUACUUUUUCGUGGGGGAUAACGUAGGGAAACUUACGCUAAUACCGCAUACGACCUACGGGUGAAAGCAGGGGAUCUUCGGACCUUGCGCGAUUGAAUGAGCCGAUGUCGGAUUAGCUAGUUGGCGGGGUAAAGGCCCACCAAGGCGACGAUCCGUAGCUGGUCUGAGAGGAUGGUCAGCCACACUGGAACUGAGACACGGUCCAGACUCCUACGGGAGGCAGCAGUGGGGAAUAUUGGACAAUGGGCGCAAGCCUGAUCCAGCCAUACCGCGUGGGUGAAGAAGGCCUUCGGGUUGUAAAGCCCUUUUGUUGGGAAAGAAAAGCAGCAGGUUAAUACCCCGCUGUUCUGACGGUACCCAAAGAAUAAGCACCGGCUAACUUCGUG
rnacentral:rRNA from 1 species